UCGGAACGGACGCUAAUACCGCAUACGUCCUACGGGAGAAAGCAGGGGACCUUCGGGCCUUGCGCUAUCAGAUGAGCCUAGGUCGGAUUAGCUAGUUGGUGAGGUAAUGGCUCACCAAGGCUACGAUCCGUAACUGGUCUGAGAGGAUGAUCAGUCACACUGGAACUGAGACACGGUCCAGACUCCUACGGGAGGCAGCAGUGGGGAAUAUUGGACAAUGGGCGAAAGCCUGAUCCAGCCAUGCCGCGUGUGUGAAGAAGGUCUUCGGAUUGUAAAGCACUUUAAGUUGGGAGGAAGGGCAUUAACCUAAUACGUUAGUGUUUCGACGUUACCGACAGAAUAAGCACCGGCUAACUCCGUGCCAGCAGCCGCGGUAAUACGGAGGGUGCGAGCGUUAAUCGGAAUUACUGGGCGUAAAGCGUACGCAGGCGGUUUGUUAAGCGAGAUGUGAAAGCCCCGGGCUCAACCUGGGAACUGCAUUUCGAACUGGCAAACUAGAGUGUGAUAGAGGGUGGUAGAAUUUCAGGUGUAGCGGUGAAAUGCGUAGAGAUCUGAAGGANANUNACNCGNNAUGGCGAAGGCAGCCACCUGGGUCAACACUGACGCUCAUGUACGAAAGCGUGGGGAGCAAACGGGUAUUAGAUACCCCGGUAGUCCACGCCGUAAACGAUGUCUACUAGAAGCUCGGAGCCUCGGUUCUGUUUUUCAAAGCUAACGCAUUAAGUAGACCGCCUGGGGAGUACGGCCGCAAGGUUAAAACUCAAAUGAAUUGACGGGGGCCCGCACAAGCGGUGGAGCANUGUGGUUUAANUUCGAUGCAACGCGAAGAACCNUUACCUACACUUGACAUACAGAGAACNUUACCAGAGAUGGUUUGGUGCCUUCNGGGAANCUNCUGAUACAGGUGCNUGCANUGGCNUGUCGUNCAGCUCGUGUUNGUGNANGANUGUUGGGUUAAGUNCCCGCAANCNGAGCNGCAACCCCUAUCCUUAGNUUGCUAGCNAGGUAAUNGCNUNGAGAACUCUANNANNGGAGACUGCCGGNUGNAUAAACCGGAGGAAGNGUGGGGACNGACNNGUNCAAGUCNAUNCAUGNGCCCUUANCGNUGUAGGGCNUNANCACACGUNGNNUACNANAUGGCGCAUNACAGAGUNGNCNUGCGAACCUGCGAAGGUAAGCGAAUCACUUAAAGUGCGUCGUAGUCCGGAUUGGAGUCUGCAACUCGACUCCAUGAAGUCGGAAUCGCUAGUAAUCGCGUAUCAGAAUGACGCGGUGAAUACGUUCCCGGGCCUUGUACACACCGCCCGUCACACCAUGGGAG
rnacentral:rRNA from 1 species